AUUUCUUCGGAGAGUUUGAUCCUGGCUCAGGAUGAACGCUGGCGGCGUGCCUAAUACAUGCAAGUCGAGCGAACUG
rnacentral:rRNA from 2 species